UGAACUUAGCAUAUCAAUUAAGCGGAGGAAAGAAACUAACAAGGAUUCCCCUAGUACGGCGAGUGAAGCGGGAUGAGCUCAAAUUUAAUCUGGCUGGUUUACUAGUCCGAAUUGUAGUUUAUAGAAGCGUUUUCGGUGGCAGCCUGGGUAUAAAUCCUUUGGGAUAGGGUAUCAUAGAGGGUGAGAAUCCCGUCUUUGACUCAGUGCAUGCUACUAUGUGAUACGUUUUAAAGAGUCGAGUUGUUUGGGAAUGCAGCUCAAAAUGGGUGGUAAAUUUCAUCUAAAAGCUAAAUAUUGGCGAGAGACCGAUAGCGAACAAGUACCGUGAGGGAAAGAUGAAAAGAACUUUGAAAAGAGAGUUAAACAGUGCGUGAAAUUGUUGAAAGGGAAACGCUUGACACCAGUCAUGCGAGUGGAAAAUCAGUCUUUUGCAAUGGGGAGUUGUGGGCGUUCAGACCGCAAGGCUGGCGUUUGCUUCAUCUUUGUUGUAAGUGAUGCACUUUUUCAUUUGCAGGUCAACAUCAGUUUGCUUUGCUGGACAAAACCCCAAGGGAAGGUGGCAGCUUAGGCUGUGUUAUAGCCCUGGGGCGAUACAGUGGAGUGGACUGAGGUUUUCGCAGUGUGUGCUCUCUGGGCAAGGCUGACUGGGUGCUAUGGGAUCGUUCGGCGUACAAUGCAUGCAUUUUGCGUCGUGUCUUUUUCAUACUCGCUCAACUCGGCUCUUCCACACUUAGGAUGUUGACUUAAUGGUUUUAAUCGACCCGUCUUGAAACACGGACCAAGGAGUCUAACAUAUAUGCAAGUGUUUGGGUGGCAAACCCAUGCGCGUAAUGAAAGUGAACGUAGGUGCCAUCCGCAAGGUGCAGCAUCGACCGAUCUUGAUAUUUUUGGAUAGAUUUGAGUAAGAGCAUAUAUGCUGGGACCCGAAAGAUGGUGAACUAUGCCUGAAUAGGGUGAAGCCAGAGGAAACUCUGGUGGAGGCUCGUAGCGAUUCUGACGUGCAAAUCGAUCGUCAAAUUUGGGUAUAGGGGCGAAAGACUAAUCGAACCAUCUAGAGGUGCCG
rnacentral:rRNA from 1 species